CUUGCAUUAGAGUCCCCAAGAUGUUGGCAAUGUCAGAGCUGUGAGGCAUUGGCCAAGGAGGGCUUUAGACAGGGAAUGGAACCAGGCCAAGAAAGAAAAGUGUGCUGUAGGCAGUCAAGCUGAAGGGGUGGGACCAUCUAAGUCCACUGACAUCAGACACAAAGCUAUAGGAUUUGGAGUUUUGUUUGCCGGGUGUUGUUCUUUGGUGAGUAUGUCCUCACUAUGUCCCCAUUUCUUCUUUUUGGAAUGGUACUAUAGAUUCUGUGCCUUUGCAUGUUGGAAGUAUGUGAUUUGCCUUUUAUUUUCUAGGGGAUUAUAGCGAAGAGACUGGAUUGGGUUGUCUCAGAAAACAGCCUGUAAAACACUAUGGGGACUUUUGAAGUUAACUAAAUGUGUUUUGCAUUAUGAUAUGACCAUGACCUUAUGGAGGCCAGGGAAUGGGAUGUGGUGGUCUAAAUGAUAAUAGCCCCCCCCCAGUCUCAUAGGUUUGAACACUUGGUCCCCACUUGGUAGAAUUGUUUGGGAAGGAUUAGAGGUGUGCCCUUGAGGUGGUGUGUCUGGGGAUGAACCUUGAGGUUUUGAAAGUCCUCUCUCUCUCUCUCUCUCUCUCUCUCUCUCUCUCUCUCUCUCUCUCUCUCUCUCUCUCUCUUUCUCUCUCUCUCUCUCUGCCUCUUACUUGCAGAUCAAAAAGUGAGCUCUCAGCUGUUCCUGCUGCCAUGCCUUUGCUCUGACAUGAUGGACUCUGAUCUUCUGAAAUCAUAAGCUCAACACUCUGUUUUAUAAGUCACCUUGGCCAUGGUAUCUUAUUCCAGCAAUAGAAAAUAAAUCAAGGCUUUAGUCUUCACUGCACAGAGGAUGAUGAGAA
rnacentral:lncRNA from 1 species